rnacentral:misc_RNA from 1 species
AAGACUAUAGACCUGCGGAGUACCUGCGGAAGGAUCAUUACCGAGUUAGGGUAGUCACUCACUGCCCGACCUCCCAACCCUGUGUCUACCACACUUUGUCGUUGCUUCGGCGGACCGGUUGACCAACUGGUCGUGACCGCCGGGGGCUGGCUCUGUCCCCCUGGAGAGCGUCCGUCGAUGGCCCAACCACAAAACUCUUGUACCGAAACGUGUCGUCUGAAUUAUAUUUGAGAAAUCAAA